UACAUGGGGUGCAAACGUUGCUCGGAAUUAUUGGGCGUAAAGCGCACGUAGGCGGUUCGUUAAGUCGGAUGUGAAAGCCCUCGGCUCAACUGAGGAAGUGCACCCGAAACUGGCGAGCUUGAGUACGAAAGAGGAUCGCGGAAUUCCCGGUGUAGAGGUGAAAUUCGUAGAUAUCGGGAGGAACGACCGGUGGCGAAGGCGGGUCUCUGGGCCGAUACUGACGCUGAGGAGCGAAAGCGUGGGGAGCGAACAGG
rnacentral:rRNA from 1 species